AUUGAACGCUGGCGGCAGGCCUAACACAUGCAAGUCGAGCGGAUGAAGGGAGCUUGCUCCUGGAUUCAGCGGCGGACGGGUGAGUAAUGCCUAGGAAUCUGCCUGGUAGUGGGGGAUAACGUCCGGAAACGGGCGCUAAUACCGCAUACGUCCUGAGGGAGAAAGGGGGGGAUCUUCGGACCUCCCGCUAUCAGAUAAGCCUAGGUCGGAUUAGCUAGUUGGUGGGGUAAAGGCCUACCAAGGCGACGAUCCGUAACUGGUCUGAGAGGAUGAUCAGUCACACUGGAACUGAGACACGGUCCAGACUCCUACGGGAGGCAGCAGUGGGGAAUAUUGGACAAUGGGCGAAAGCCUGAUCCAGCCAUGCCGCGUGUGUGAAGAAGGUCUUCGGAUUGUAAAGCACUUUAAGUUGGGAGGAAGGGCAGUAAGUUAAUACCUUGCUGUUUUGACGUUACCAACAGAAUAAGCACCGGCUAACUUCGUG
rnacentral:rRNA from 1 species